rnacentral:tRNA from 1 species
GGUCGGGUAGCUCAGGGGGAGAGCACCUGCCUGACAUGCAGGAGGCCGCUGGUUCGAAACCAGCCCCGACCACCA